rnacentral:rRNA from 1 species
UAGGGAAUCUUCCGCAAUGGACGCAAGUCUGACGGAGCAACGCCGCGUGAGUGAAGAAGGAUUUCGGUUCGUAAAACUCUGUUGUUAGAGAAGAACAGCGCAUAGAGUAACUGUUAUGCGUGUGACGGUAUCUAACCAGAAAGCCACGGCUAACUACGUGCCAGCAGCCGCGGUAAUACGUAGGUCCCGAGCGUUGUCCGGAUUUAUUGGGCGUAAAGCGAGCGCAGGCGGUUAGAAAAGUCUGAAGUGAAAGGCAGUGGCUCAACCAGUGUAGGCAUUGGAAACUGUUUAACUUGAGUGCAGAAGGGGAGAGUGGAAUUCCAUGUGUAGCGGUGAAAUGCGUAGAUAUAUGGAGGAACACCGGUGGCGAAAGCGGCUCUCUGGUCUGUAACUGACGCUGAGGCUCGAAAGCGUGGGGAGCGAACAGG